UUUCGGUGGCGAUGCGCCUGAGGGGAACACCCGUUAACAUCCCGAACACGAUGGUUAAGACUCAGGCGGCCGACAGUACUCGGCUGGAGACGGCCCGGGAGGAUAGGUGGCUGCCGAAU
rnacentral:rRNA from 1 species